UACGUAGGGUGCGAGCGUUGUCCGGAAUUAUUGGGCGUAAAGAGCUCGUAGGCGGUCUGUCGCGUCUGCUGUGAAAACUCGGGGCUUAACCCCGGGCCUGCAGUCGAUACGGGCAAACUAGAGUGCGGUAGGGGAGACUGGAAUUCCUGGUGUAGCGGUGAAAUGCGCAGAUAUCAGGAGGAACACCGGUGGCGAAGGCGGGUCUCUGGGCCGUAACUGACGCUGAGGAGCGAAAGCGUGGGGAGCGAACAGG
rnacentral:rRNA from 1 species